rnacentral:rRNA from 1 species
CCUACGGGAGGCUGCAGUGGGGAAAAUUGCACAAUGGGCGCAAGCCUGAUGCAGCCAUGCCGCGUGUGUGAAGAAGGCCUUCGGGUUGUAAAGCACUUUCAGCGGGGAGGAAGGCGUUAAGGUUAAUAACCUUGUCGAUUGACGUUACCCGCAGAAGAAGCACCGGCUAACUCCGUGCCAGCAGCCGCGGUAAUACGGAGGGUGCAAGCGUUAAUCGGAAUUACUGGGCGUAAAGCGCACGCAGGCGGUCUGUCAAGUCGGAUGUGAAAUCCCCGGGCUCAACCUGGGAACUGCAUUCGAAACUGGCAGGCUAGAGUCUUGUAGAGGGGGGUAGAAUUCCAGGUGUAGCGGUGAAAUGCGUAGAGAUCUGGAGGAAUACCGGUGGCGAAGGCGGCCCCCUGGACAAAGACUGACGCUCAGGUGCGAAAGCGUGGGGAGCAAACAGGAUUAGAUACCCCAGUAGUC